rnacentral:tRNA from 1 species
GCACGAGUGGCGGAAUUGGCAGACGCACCGGAUUUAGGUUCCGGCGCCCAAAAGGCGUGGAGGUUCAAGUCCUCUCUCGUGCACCA